UACGGAGGAUGCAAGCGUUAUCCGGAAUGAUUGGGCGUAAAGCGUCCGCAGGUGGCUGUGUAAGUCUGCUGUUAAAGAGUGAGGCUCAACCUCAUAAAGGCAGUGGAAACUACAUGGCUAGAGUGCGUUCGGGGCAGAGGGAAUUCCUGGUGUAGCGGUGAAAUGCGUAGAGAUCAGGAAGAACACCGGUGGCGAAAGCGGCUCUCUGGGACGGUACUGACGCUGAGACGCGAAAGCGUGGGGAGCGAACAGG
rnacentral:rRNA from 1 species